ensembl:lncRNA
AGUGAAAGGUUUAAUGAAUGUAUUUGUAUCUUGAUAAUGAAGAUUGUAGUAUAGCCAAUACUGUUAAUUUAAGUUUUUAUAUUUUUAACUCCACUAAUGUGAUUUUUUUUAUAGAAUUAGAAAACCCAAAAUCGUUAUCUCUAGAAUAUUUUUUCAAUUAUUUUAUGUGAAUUUUUUUUCUUGUAUAGUAUCUUAUACUAUGAUGAACACGUUAUUUUUUUAUUUACUGUUUUAUGGCGUUAUGAUUGUUAUUGUUAGAUACAACCGUCUUACCAUGAUCUUUUAUGUAAUAAGUUUGGCAAUAAUAAUAAAAAAGAGGUACAGGUGCACUACCACCUCACAGCAUCACUAACUCAACAGUCCAGUACAGUUUCUCUCAGCGACUCUGCAAUAUCUGCACAAACGAAACGUCGAACAGCUGCUCAAAGAUCUCACCUUUGGAGAAGAUUGUUGAUUUUAUACUCUAAAAAUACGGUGAACCCCACAUCUUACUAUCAUCUCAACACAGCUGAGACAGUUCUGCUGCUGCGCUGUGCUUCACAAUCUCACUCUUCUCAACGGGGAUGUCGUUGAGCAACAGGAUGAGGAAGACCUUGAUGACGGCUCUCUGAACCACACUACCUUGAAGCGAGAGCAGAAGAACACAUGCAGGACAAUCUGACUGCUGCUGUGUCUGCUCCAAACAAUCGUCCUGCUCCACCACAGAAGAUCUGCAGCAAAUGCACAGAAAACAACAAUAAGAAAAGUGCUGUAAUAACUGUUUGAAAUUACACUAAUUAAAAUGUUUUAUUUAUUUUUGUAGUGUACUUACACAAAUGCUUUGAUGGCAGCAUUCCUUCAUCAGUCACUCUACAGCAGAUAAACAUAAUCUGUUCCUG